CUUAAUUUUAUUAUGUGCGAGGAAUUGCCUUCUUGGAGUAAUGGGAAGCGGGCUAGUCCCCGAAAAUGCCCGUUAAUCAAGCAAGUUGGGGAACAAAAUCUUCA
rnacentral:misc_RNA from 1 species